GCCGAGAUCGCAUAGCCUGGUAUCGCGCUCGACUGGAAAUCGAGUGGGCCUGACCCGCGGGAGUUCAAAUCUCUCUCUCGGCGCCA
rnacentral:tRNA from 1 species